GACGAACGCUGGCGGCGUGCUUAAUACAUGCAAGUCAACUUGACUUUAGAUAGCAAUAUCGAAAAGUAGGGUGGCGCACGGGUGCGUAACGCGUAGGUAAUCUGCCCUGAGGUCUGACAUAACCCGUCGAAAGGCGGGCUAACAUCAGAUGAUAUAUAAUCACGACAUCGUGGAAAUAUCAAAUCUUCGGAGCCUUGGGAUGAGCCUGCGUCUGAUUAGGUAGUUGGCGGAGUAAUAGCCCACCAAGCCUACGAUCAGUAGCUGGUCUGAGAGGAUGAUCAGCCACACUGGAACUGAGACACGGUCCAGACUCCUACGGGAGCAGCAGUAAGGAAUAUUGCUCAAUGGGGGAAACCCUGAAGCAGCAACGCCGCGUGAAGGAUGAAAUACUUUUGUAUGUAAACUUCUGUAAGAUGGGAAAAAUAUUACUCCUCGGGAGAAUUGAUUGUACCAUCAGAGUAAGCCCCGGCUAACUACGUGCCAGCA
rnacentral:rRNA from 1 species